GUUUCUGGACAUUUUGGGUAUUUUGGAGGUUAAGAUGACAUAUUUUGAGGAAUAUUCCUUCUGAAGAUUUGUAGGAGACAUCUUUAGUUUUGAAAAGAGGCAUUUUGGGAUCAAAUUGGAGUUGACUUGUUUGGUCAAAAGUGUGAUUUUCUGAGAAGUCUGAAUUUUAGUUCAAAUAGGAAACCUUUUAUUUUCUGUUUUAUUAUUUUAUUAUGUUUCCUAGUUUUAUUCUAAGACCUUUUUAGGGUUUUAUUUUAUAGUAGUAUAAAUAAGGCUUAUUAGCCAUUAGGGAGAUAGGGAGAGCGCACUCACUACUUUUUUGAAGUUUAUGUUCUAUGUGUUUUCUAUCCUUUUUCUAUUUCAAUAAAAUUCCUUUUGUUUUAUGGUUGUUCGUAACUAAUUUUCUUUUGCUAGGACUAUGCCUGAGCCUUCGCAUGAAUAUGAAGUUUUUAUUUAAUUGCUUAUGAUAUUAUGCAUGCAUACUUUGAAUUAUUAAUCACUGUGCUUUAAACUGUCUUUGUAUCUUAAUGCUUAGCUACCAUUAGGAUGUUUAGAUAAGUAUUCGGAUGCAAUUCGGUCGAAAUGCCACCGGAGAAUUGGGUACUGCUUCUUGUGAUUGAUAGUUGUAAGUUCACCUUGGGCGAAUGCCACAUCUUAGGGGUUGCAUGGUUUUGUGAGAUUUUGAUAUUUUGUUAUGUAUUUCCAAUAUAGAACAUUCGACUUCCUCUGGAGAAAAAUAUGACCAAUGGAUGAAUUUUGGAGUGAUUCCAAUUGGAGGAUGUUCAUGAGUGUUUUAAUAUAAUUGUAUCAGAAUUUCAUAUUUUUCUACCAAGCCGUUUGGCCGUGACGAUGAAAUAAAGGCCCAGCACGCAACUUUCCCAGAUUGAUGUUUCUGGACGUUUUGGGUAUUUUGGAGGUCAAGAUGGCACAUUUUAAGGAAUAUUCCUUAUGAAGAUUUGUAGGAGACGUCUUCAGCUUUCGAAAGAGACAUUUUAGGACCAAAUCGGAGUUGAUUGUUGUCAAAAGUGUGAUUUUCUAAGAAGUCCGAAUUUAGUUCAAAUAGGAAACCUUUUAUUUUCUGUUUUAUUAUUUUAUUAUGUUUCCUAGUUUUAUUCUAAGACCUUUUUAGGGUUUUAUUUUAUAGUAGUAUAAAUAAGGCUUAUUAGCCAUUAGGUGGUGUGAUAUAAAUAGCACACAAACUUAAACCCUCUUUUUGAUAGUUGUAGUAUGUGUAAAUAGGGAUAGUUCUAGGCCGGGGAUUAGGAGUGUUGGAAAAUUAGUUAUUAGUUUAUUUUUGUUUAUGGUUUUCUUGUGGGACAAGGAUAUUAGAAUUUUCCAUAUCCUUUAAGGGUUAGGAUUUAGGGUUUAUUAGAGUUUUCUAUAUCCUUUAAGGAUUAGGAUUUUCUUUAGAUUUCACUAUAUAUAAUAGAGCUUGUAAUUAAAUUCUAAAUCACUAAACUAGACUAAAAAACAGAAAACUAAACUUAAACUACUCAAAAUAAGCUAAACUGACUCAAAACACACAAACUAAGUUAAAUUGACUCAAAACAGGAACUGAAGGGAAAUUUGGACGAAAAUUAAACUAAAAAGACUCAGAAAACUAAAUGAGGGAUUAUUUUGACAAAUUUAAGAUUUAAACAAACAAACUUGCAGAAACAAACUAAAGGGUAUGAAAUUGGGUGAAUUGGGUGAAAGGCUAGCUAGAGGGUCUUUCUCCACACAUGACGCAUAUGCAUACAAAUCAAUUUCCAGUUAUUCUUCCUAUAAACCAUGAAUGACAAUGCCCUAAGUUAACCGUGAACUGCACAAAUUAACCAUCAGAUUUUCCUAAAUUCAUUGAAUUGGACUCAACAACGCAACCAAAUU
rnacentral:lncRNA from 1 species